UACGGAGGGUGCAAGCGUUGUCCGGAAUCACUGGGCGUAAAGGGCGCGUAGGCGGCUCAUGAAGGCUGUGGUGAAAGUCCGGGGCUCAACCUCGGAUCGGCCGUGGCGACUCGUGGGCUGGAGCACUGUAGAGGCGGGUGGAAUUCCGGGUGUAGCGGUGGGAUGCGUAGAGAUCCGGAAGAACACCAGUGGCGAAGGCGGCCCGCUGGGCAGUGGCUGACGCUGAGGCGCGACAGCGUGGGGAGCAAACAGG
rnacentral:rRNA from 1 species